rnacentral:rRNA from 1 species
UAUUGGACAAUGGGCGAAAGCCUGAUCCAGCAAUGCCGCGUGAGUGAUGAAGGCCUUAGGGUUGUAAGGCUCUUUUACCCGGGAUGAUAAUGACAGUACCGGGAGAAUAAGCUCCGGCUAACUCCGUGCCAGCAGCCGCGGUAAUACGGAGGGAGCUAGCGUUGUUCGGAAUUACUGGGCGUAAAGCGCACGUAGGCGGCGUUGUAAGUUAGAGGUGAAAGCCUGGAGCUCAACUCCAGAACUGCCUUUAAGACUGCAUCGCUUGAAUCCAGGAGAGGUGAGUGGAAUUCCGAGUGUAGAGGUGAAAUUCGUAGAUAUUCGGAAGAACACCAGUGGCGAAGGCAGCUCACUGGACUGGUAUGACGCUGAGGUGCGAA